GACAGAGGGUGCAAACGUUGCUCGGAAUCACUGGGCGUAAAGCGCACGUAGGCGGAUUGUUAAGUCAGGGGUGAAAUCCUGGAGCUCAACUCCAGAACUGCCUUUGAUACUGGCGAUCUCGAGUCCGGGAGAGGUGAGUGGAACUGCGAGUGUAGAGGUGAAAUUCGUAGAUAUUCGCAAGAACACCAGUGGCGAAGGCGGCUCACUGGCCCGGUACUGACGCUGAGGUGCGAAAGCGUGGGGAGCAAACAGG
rnacentral:rRNA from 1 species